GAGGCAGGCACUGGAACCACUGAGCUAAAUCCCCAGUCCCAAAAAAUUAUUGAAUAAAUUUAGUAAAAUUGUUUUUAUAUUUCCUGUUAUAUUCUUUUUAUUGGGGGGGGUACUGGGGAUCGAACUUGGGUCCUUACCCUUGCGAAGCAGGCAACGAAAGCACUGAGCUAAAUCCCUGGCCCAAAAUCAUUCUUUUUUUUUUUUUUUUUUUUGUGGAACUGGGGAUCGAGCUCAGGACCUUGCACUUCCAAGGCAAGCGGUGGCACCACUGAGCUAAAUCCCCAGCCCUCCUGUUAUAUUCUUAUAAAAAUUAAUGAAAAAUGUAUACAACUUUUGGUCAUUCUGUAUUUAAAUAACUGGACUGCUAAGGGCUUAACCAAUCUUUAGGGUAUAUUCCACACCCUUAUAUGAUAGCCCCUUAGCCCACUGGGACCCCAAGAAUCAGCACUUCAUUUGCAUUGUUUCAUGUUUCUCAUCACUACCUGAAAGGUAGAAGUUAGCUUCUUCUUUAUGUGUAUGUGUAUGUGUCUGUGUGUGUUUGUAUGUGGUACUAGGGAUUAAACCCAGGGCCUUCUCACUGAGCUACAUCUCAAGCCCUUUUUUGAGGUUUGUUUGAUUUUUUUUGUACCGGGGAUCGAACUCGGGACCUUGAGCUUGCCAGGCAGGUGUGGCACCACUGAGCUACAUGCCUGGCCCUAAAAGUCUGUGUUCUUGAUGACUUCACUACACCAUAAGGAAGGACAUGUCUAUAGCAUCUACUGGGGUGCCAAUAGCCCACUUGGUAUCUGUGUGAAAACAAGGCCCCUUUUUCCAGGAGGUAGUAGCCCUGAGCAGGUGAGCAAAGUCAGGGUCCAAUCCCAGUCACCAUUUCAAUCUGCUCACCUGCAUGAUCAUACUUCACAUACUUGGUGCCUGCAGACAGAUAGCCAGGUGCUGACUGCAAUACUUGGACAAGGGCUGUCAGGGGUUCUUAGAGCCACAGAGAUGCAAAGCUAGACUGGUCCUUAGAGAUCACCCAAAAUCAUCAUCAUCAAGGUCUUUGUAGCUGCCAUUUAUGAAAUACUUAUGUGCAAAAUAUAGUGCUGAGCAUUUUAUCUGUAUCAUAUCAACAACCAAAAUAGCUACAAUGAAGAAACAGAUUUAGUGCCAGGGAUUUAGCUCAGUGGUGCCGCUGCCUGCCUUGAAAGUGCCAGGUUCUGAGUUUGAUCCCUGGUACUGGAAAAAAAAAAGAAACAAGUUUAGAGAAAUUAAAUAUUAUAACCUCACUCCAGGUUGAGGGAAUGUAAUGAGUGGGAUGACUUGUCCCUGAGUGUUUUGUUUUGUUAGGUGGUACUAGGGUGCAAACCUAGGGACUUGUUCAUGCUAAACACAUGCUCUACUACUGAGCUACAUACACCCCCAUCCCC
rnacentral:tRNA from 1 species